GUCGACGGUCUUGAUUUAUCAAGACAGUGGCAAACGGGUGAGUAACACGUAAGUAACCUGUCCCUAAGUAAGGAAUAACUUUAAGAAAUUGGAGCUAAUACCUUAUGUGCUGAUGGGGGUAAGGCUCCAUCAGUAAAGCCUUAGGGCGCUCAGGGAGGGGCUUGUGUCCGAUUAGCUAGUUGGUAGGGUAACGGUCUACCAAGGCUGUGAUAGGUAGCUGGUCUGAGAGGAUGGUCAGCCACAUUGGGACUGAGACACGGCCCAGACUCCUACGGGAGGCAGCAGCAAGGAAUUUUGUGCAAUGGGCGAAAGCCUGACACAGCGACGCCGCGUGGGGGAUGAAGGCUUUCGGGUUGUAAACCCCUUUUCUCAGGGAAGAAUAAUGACGGUACCUGAGGAAGAAGUCUCGGCUAACUACGUGCCAGCAGCCGCGGUAAUACGUAGGAGGCUAGCGUUAUCCGGAUUUAUUGGGCGUAAAGAGGGCGUAGGCGGUUCUUCAAGUCGGAUGUAAAAUCUCCCGGCUUAACUGGGAGGGACCAUUCGAUACUGUUGGGCUAGAGGGCAGCAGGGGGAGGUAGAAUUCCCGGUGUAGUGGUGAAAUGCGUAGAUAUCGGGAGGAAUACCAGUAGCGAAGGCGGCCUCCUGGGCUGUUGCUGACGCUGAGGCCCGAAAGCGUGGGGAGCGAACAGGAUUAGAUACCCUGGUAGUCCACGCCCUAAACGAUGGACACUAGGUAUGGGGAGUAUCGACCCUCU
rnacentral:rRNA from 1 species